GACGAACGCUGGCGGCGUGCUUAAUACAUGCAAGUCAACGACUUUUAGAGUAGCAAUAUUUUAAAGGAAGUGGCGCACGGGUGAGUAACACGUAGGUAAUCUGCCUUCAGGACUGACACAACUCGUCGAAAGACGGGCUAAUAUCAGAUAAUGCAGCGGCUCCGCAUGGAGACAGUUGUUAAAGUACAAGCGCCUGAAGAUGAGCCUGCGGUCCAUUAGCUAGUUGGUAGAGUAACAGCCUACCAAGGCAACGAUGGAUAGCUGGUCUGAGAGGAUGAUCAGCCACACUGGAACUGAGACACGGUCCAGACUCCUACGGGAGGCAGCAGUAAGGAUAUUGCUCAAUGGCCGAAAGGCUGAAGCAGCAACGCCGCGUAGAAGGAUGAAUGGCCUUUGGCCUGUAAACUU
rnacentral:rRNA from 1 species